UACGUAGGUGGCAAGCGUUGUCCGGAUUUACUGGGCGUAAAGAGCGCGCAGGCGGUCGUGCAAGUCGCGUGUGAAAGCCCCCGGCUCAACUGGGGAGGGUCACGCGAUACUGCUCGACUCGAAGGCAGGAGAGGGAAGUGGAAUUCCCGGUGUAGUGGUGAAAUGCGUAGAGAUCGGGAAGAACGCCAAGGGCGAAGGCACUCUGCUAGGCCUGAUUUCGCGACUGACACUCAGGGACGAGAGCCAGGGGAGCGAAUGGG
rnacentral:rRNA from 1 species